rnacentral:rRNA from 1 species
GAUGAACGCUAGCGGCAGGCCUAAUACAUGCAAGUCGGACGGGAUUUGGGAGCUUGCUCCCAAUGAGAGUGGCGCACGGGUGCGUAACACGUAUGUAACCUACCUUAAUCAGGGGGAUAGCCUCUCGAAAGAGAGAUUAACACCGCAUAACAUCAUGAGAUAGCAUUAUUUUAUGAUCAAAUAUUUAUAGGAUUAAGAUGGGCAUGCGGGACAUUAGCUAGUUGGCGGGGUAACGGCCCACCAAGGCGACGAUGUCUAGGGGAUCUGAGAGGAUGGCCCCCCACACUGGUACUGAGACACGGACCAGACUCCUACGGGAGGCAGCAGUAAGGAAUAUUGGUCAAUGGGCGCAAGCCUGAACCAGCCAUGCCGCGUGCAGGAAGACGGCCCUACGGGUUGUAAACUGCUUUUGUACCGGAAUAAACCUUGAUAUGUAUAUCAAGCUGAAUGUACGGUAAGAAUAAGGAUCGGCUAACUCCGUGCCAGCAGCCGCGGUAACAC